GGCUACGGCCACACCUCCCUGAGCACGCCCGAUCUCGUCUGAUCUCGGAAGCUAAGCAGGGUCGGGCCCGGUUAGUACUUGGAUGGGAGACGCUGGGAAUACCAGGUGCUGUAAGCC
rnacentral:rRNA from 1 species